AAAGUAGGGUUCUAAUUUUUUCUUUGCUGUGGUGUUCUUUUUGUUUGUUUUGGGAAACCCCUCUGCAGGUUUUUUAAAAUAAAUUUUAUUCAAUUAAUAAAUAUAAACAAAAUAACACAAGCCAAAACACAAUCCAUCCUAAGUAUCUCUCUACAGUGCAGUUCCUUAAAAUAUCAUCUGAACAAAAUUGGUGAAGCAGUAAAGAGUUUAUUGAGGACAAUACAUUCUUGCAAAAGCGGGGCUCCAAAGCAGGCACAGUCCAGCUGGGGCAAAGAAUGAGCUUAUAUUCCCUCUGCACACGUUCCCUCCCUCGCCUUCCCAUUGGUUGGGUGCUGCAAGGUUUUCCUUCCCCCAAUUAUCAAAUAACAGACAAGAGGCUGAGCGUGGAGACAAACUGUUAUGUAGUGAAGUUUCACCCUGGGCCAGCAGGGGGAUACUGUAGAUAGUUUUCACUCAGGUCCACGUCAGUUAGUUUAGGCGGGAAACUCUGGGUUGUUGUUGCUACAAUGUUGACAGCCGGCUGCCUAUAAAAGCAGGCCGGCUGAGCUGUUUGCUAGUCAGUUCUAUUUCAGCUUACAAAAUAAAGAGCUGCUUUGGAGAAAUCGCUGUGUCAUCUGCUAUGUCAACCCACAAUUUAACUCUGGCGACGAGGAUGGGAUCGAUGGACAUCAGAGCACAGCCAGAUGCGGCCAGCCUCUGAACUGAGCUGAAUCACAGAGCGAAACCACUGAGCGAAAUCACUGGACAGAACUAAUUCAGAGCUGACUGUUCUGGCUAGAGCACUGUGUUCCAUCCAUCGCCCUUCACGCCGGCAUCAGAAUCAUGGCUUCACUUGUGCCUCUACUGCUGUUUGCGCCAGCCUCUGAAUCAUGGGACUCCUACCUCGCUUGGUUCGACUGCUACCUCCAAGCCAACGAGCUGACAGAAGUCUCAAAGGAGCGGAAGCGGGGCCUAUUCCUCAGCCUCUGUGGGCCUGAGGUGUUUGAGACAGCCCGAGCAUUGGUUGCGCCUGAAGCAGUCCAGGCAACACCAUGGGACACGAUCUAAGAGAAGCUCCGCAACCACUAUGCACCAAAGCCAUCCAAGAUUGCUGCCCGCCAUGCGUUCUACCACCGGAACCAGGCAGAGGGGAAGUCAAUCAACAACUACACCACCGCCCUGCGACAGGCUGCAAUGCACUGCGAGUUCCGAGACUUAGACGAUGCCCUGAUGGAUCGAAUCGCCUGUGGGGUCCGGGACAUCUAUCUGCAAUGGCGUCUCCUCGCCAAGCCAGACCUCAUGCUACAGAAAGCCAUUGAGGAGGCUGUGGCCUCAGAAGCUGCUGAACGCUCUGCCCAGGAGAUCCGCAAGUCCAGCAGCCUGUGUCUUGAUAGGAAGCCAGUUCCGGUGCAUCAUGAAGAGGCCAGCAGUGAUUAAGCAUCCUCCAGUGAAGACGAUGAUGUGCACCAGACAAAGCGGGAGCACAGGAAGUUCCAACAGAAGUCCAAGGGCCAACCAGAAUGUGCCGUCUACGGAGGCAACCAUUCCCGUGCCAAGUGUCGAUUCAGAGACGCCAUCUGUAGGAAGUGUUCCAGAAGGGGCCACAUCGCUAAGGUCUGCCGAUCGGCUCCGUCUGACACCCCCCCUUCACCAACUCGCAAGUCCAAGUCUUCACUCCAGUCUGCCAAGGAAAGUUGUUUCGCUCCCACCAACUGCCGCUGCCAGUCUGGAACCACGAUUGGCCAAACUGACUCGCCUACGCAACGCAAGCUGAACGUCACGGUGCUCAUUGAAGGAGCUCCAUGUGACAUGGAGAUCGACACCGGGUCUGCCCUGUCCAUCGUGUCUUGGAGCAUCAUCAAAAGACUGGUGCCCAGAGUGUCCAAAAGGCAACUCGACUCUCACCGCGUACACCUGAGAGACUACCAGGGAAACGACAUUCCUGUGGUAGGCGUUGGCCGGUUCUGGAUCGCCUUCAAGGAUUUUUCGGGCCUGCUCCGGUUGGUGGUGGUCGAAGGUCAGCGGCCAAGCCUCCUAGGGCUAGACUGGUUUGAUGCCCUCGGCCUGGAAGUCACCGGCAUCAACUGCAUCUCUAAUGCAGAGACUGAGGGUCUGGUCAAAGACUUUGCCGAGGUUUUUGAUGGCACCUUGGGGCAAUAUACAGGUACGCCCAUCUCCUUUAGCCUUGAUCCACAAGUCGCCCCCAUCAAGCUAAAGCCACGCCGGGUUCCCUUUGCUCUCAAGGCUAAGGUGGACGAACAACUGGACAAACUGAUCGCCCAAGGAGUUUUGGAGCCGGUUGACCACGCCAAGUGGGAAACCCCCAUCGUCACGCCUGUCAAGCCAGACGGGUCGGUGAGAAUCUGCGCUGACUACAAGUGCACGAUCAACAAGGCACUUCAGCAGCACGCUUAUCCGGUUCCUGUUGUCCAACACCUGCUGCAUUCCCUGGGUGAGGGUAAGGUCUUCGCUAAGCUGGACCUUGCCCAAGCCUAUCAACAACUGCCCGUCGAUGAUGCCACUGCUGAAGCCCAGACGAUCGUCACCCACCAAGGGGCAUUCCGUUGCCGCCGGUUGCAGUUCGGGGUGAGUGUGGCUUCUGGCAUCUUCCAAAGCCUUAUGGAGCGUCUCCUGCAAGGGCUUCCGGGCGUGGUACCAUAUUUUGAUGACGUCUUGGUGUCCGCAGACUCACACCAGCAGCUGUUUGAGCGCCUCCGUGCCGUGCUGACCAGGUUCCAAGAGGCCGGGCUCAAGGUAAAGAGGGAGAAGUGCCAGAUCGCCGUUCCACAGGUAGAGUUCCUGGGCUAUCUUAUCGACACCUCCGGCCUCCACCCAACCACAUCCAAGAUCCGCGCUAUCCAGCAGGCCCCCAUCCCAAAGAACAAGACGGAGUUGCAGGCGUUCCUGGGGCUGCUGAACUUUUAUAACAUGUUCCUGCCCCACAAAGCCACAGUGGCUGAGCCUCCUCACCUUCCUUAGCACAAAGACGCCUUGGGCCUGGGGUCAUCGGGAGACGGCGGCCUUCAACGUGGUCAAGGCUCUCCUUUCAUUGGACCGUGUGCUGGUACAGUACAGUGAAUCCAGGCCGCUGGUCCUUGCCUGCGACGCCUCACCUUUUGGAAUCGGCGCUGUCCUUAGUCACCGUUUUCCAGACGGAAGAGAAGCACCGCUCGCCUACUUUUCCAGGACACUAUCUCCGACGGAACGGAAUUACAGCCAGCUCGACUAGGAGGCACUGGCACUUGUGGCUGGAAUGAAGAGGUUCCAUGAAUACCUCUAUGGCAGGACUUUUGACCUCAUCACUGACCACAAGCCACUCCUGGGCCUCCUCACCGGUGAUCGUCCAACUCCACCAGUCCUCUCACCACGCAUGCUGCGAUGGACUGUUUUCCUGGCUGCCAACCACUACCGGCUCGUCCAUCGCCCGGGGAAAUCAAUGGGCCAUGCUGACGCCCUCAGCCGUUGCCCUCUUCCAGCAUUUGUGGAAGACCCGGCUCCAGCUUCAUCGCUCCUCCUGAUUGAGGAUCUUCCGGCAGUGCCUGUAUCGGCUGCCACUGUGGCCUCCGCGUCUGCCCAGGAUUGCACCAUCAGCCGGGUGCUCAACUGGGUGUGGAGGGUGUGGCCGCAAGGGCCUUUUGCAUCAGAGUUCCAGCCCUUUGCAACCAGACAACAUGAACUCUCGGCUCAUUGCGGCUGUCUGCUGUGGGGAGACCGUGUCGUGAUUCCCCAGGGACUCCGUCAGCGCGUCCUGGAGGCUCUGCACCUUGGCCACCCGGGAAUUGUCAAAAUGAAGGCGUUGGCUUGGUGUUACGUCUGGUGGCCUAAUAUGGACGAUGCCAUCACUGCCUGGGUGUCCGCCUGUCAAGCGUGCCAAGAGUCGAGGCCUGCACCACCGGCAAGUAAGGGACACACCUGGGAGAUGCCAAAGACACCCUGGUCGGGGGUGCACAUCGAUCUGGCUGGCCCCUUUCACGGCUGGACCUUUAUGGUAGUGGUGGACGCCUAUUCCAAAUGGCUGGAGGUGGCCCUGAUGCCCUCCACCACUACCGAGGCCAUCAUCCGGGUGCUGCGAGGCCUGUUUGCAACGCAUGGGUGUCCUGAUGUCCUUGUCUCCGACAACGGACCACAGUUCACGUCAGGCACGUUUGGGGACUCGGCAUCCGCCAUGCCCUAACGACACCCUUUCAUCCAUCCAGCAACGGACAAGCGGAGAGAAUGGUGCGCUCGGCAAAAGAGGCACUGGUGCGCCUGGACCGGGGAGACUGGCACAAGCGGGUCGCUGAAUACUUGUUCGUGCAACACAUCACCCCUCAUGCGACCACAGGGCGGAGUCCUGCUGAACUGCUUAUGGGCCGCCGCCUCAGGUCACCGCUCGACCGGCUGCACCCGGACUUUGCCGUGGCUGAACCCCCAGGCUGUGCCAACACGCCACGGUCAUUUGUCCCAGGAAACCAGGUCUUUGCCCGGAACUAUGUGGGGGACAUUCCUUGGGUGCCAGCCACAGUAGUGGGAGUCACUGGACCUCGCUCGUACCAGGUGGCACUCGAAGACGGACGCUUGUGGCGCCGGCACAUAGACCAGCUUAGGCGCAGGGUUGGGGACUUGGACACUACCAUGGUGCCCCCAACUGCGCCUGUGGCUCCAGAAGAGACACUUACAGAUGGCGAGGCUCCACCUACACCUCCCUCGCAAACUGCCAGCGUGGAGCCGAACCAAGCCACUACAGAGGGUCUGCCAGACUUAUCACAGACUCAGACCACUCCACUUGCGGAGGCUCCACCCACAGCAGCGGAUCCAGGGGAUUUGGUUUCAACACCACCUAGGGUCGCACCACAGCCUCAGCAAGAACUGUGUGGCCCUCCGGACUUGGCUUCCAAGCGCCCAACUUAUUUAAAGGACUAUGUUGUUGGACAUGUAUCACUGUUGGUCUAAGUAUGGGAAAUGUAACCGAUAUGCUUUUGUGCCUAAUUGAACCAUUACGCGUAGUGCUGUAUAUAAGGAAACCAUUACGAUUGUAACUAACGCCUUAUCUCGGUGGGGAGGGGUGUUAUGUAGUGAAGUUUCACCCUGGGCCAGCAGGGGGAUACUGUAGAUAGUUUUCACUCAGGUCUGUAGAUAGUUUUCACUCAGGUCCACGUCAGUUAGUUUAGGCGGGAAACUCUGGGUUAUUGUUGCUACAAUGUUGACAGCCGGCUGCCUAUAAAAGCAGGCCGGCUGAGCUGUUUGUUAGUCAGUUCUAUUCCAGCUUACAAAAUAAAGAGCUGCUUUGGAGAAAUCGCUGUGUCGUCUGCUAUGUCAACCCACAACUUAACUGAAACUUCUCCUUCCUCCUCAGAGUUGCCUCCACUUCCGGCUUCACCAGCAGAGAUAAAAUCGGGGCUUGCAAAGGAGGGAGGGAAGGAGGCCGGAAGCGGGGCUGCGUCGUGCGGAGGAGGGGGCUUCUUCCUAAUUAAGCCUCCUAAUUAAGUGCGUCACUCCCUGCCUCCCACGCGGGGGCUCCCAUUCCUGCCCCCGCUGCCCAGGAUUUCGGGUGAGUGCAAAGCCAGUGGCGGGGAAGGAGGGAAGGGGCUUUGCGAGGGGGUCCAGGAUGAGAAGCCCCGGGACGGGGAGAGGCGGCCCUGCACAAGAUCCGGGCGGGGAGAAGAGAAGGGAGGAAAGGGAGCUGUUUCCUUAAAGGGGGCCUUGAAGGGGAAGGGGGGGAGAAGCUUCCUCCUGCAGGGAUCUGGUGUAAAGGGAGUUGCAGGAAAGGAGGCGGGAAAGGGGAGAGGGGUGGGCAUUGCUGGCCAGGUUUGCAAUAAAAAUAAUAAUAAUAACAAUAAUAAUUUUGAUAUUUAUAUCCCGACCAUCUGGCUAGGUUUCACCAGCCUCUCUGGGCAGCUAACAACAUCUAUAAAAUGUCAAAUGUUAAAAACUUCCCAAUACAAGGCUGCCUCCAUAUGUCUUCUAAAAGUUCUGUAGUUCUUUAUCCCUUUGACGCUGGAAGUGAGGGCGCCAUUACCUAGAACUCCCUCUGCCUGCCCUGAAACUUCACUUCUCGCAGUGAGAGAACUGGCAGAAGAACCUCGUAGGAGGACCUCAGUGUCCUUCCUUAUCUUUAGGCACCAGGCCAAAGCAUUGCUCUUCUCCCAGGCGUUUGGCUCAUUAAACAAUCUAUGGACUUCACAACUGCAUGGGGGGGGGGGGCCUGUGAUCAUUUCCUCCCUGGAAAAAGAGAAAUACUGUGGUACCUCAGGUUACAUACGCUUCAGGUUACAUAUGCUUCAGGUUACAGACUCUGCUCACCCAGAAAUAGUGCUUCAGGUUAAGAACUUUGCUUCAGGAUGAGAACAGAAAUCGUGCUCCGGCGGUGAAGGCCCCAUUAGCUAAAAUGCUGCUUCAGCUUAAGAACAGUUUCAGGUUAAGUACGGACCACCAGAACGAAUUAAGUACUUAAACCAAGGUACCACUGUACAGAGAUGUGUCUAAGAAGCCAGGUCCACCAUA